ensembl:misc_RNA
CUUCCACCUGUGCAGCAUCCUGGGGAAUAAACUCUUUGUCCAUCCUGUACUGCUUUAUCUGCAUCAGGGCAGUGAGCUCUUUCUCCAGCCCCCGACCCACCUUCUCCAUGCCCU